AGGGUGUAAACGCUGCAGACUUGGUGUUGGAGGCCCUUUGGGGGCAUUCAGUGCCGGAGAGAAGUUAUUAAGUCUGCUACUUGGGGAGUACGUCCGCAAGGAUGAAACUUAAAGGAAUUGGCGGGGGAGGCACCGCAACGGGAGGAGCGUGCGGUUUAAUUGGAUUCAACACCGUAAAACUCACCAGGGAAGACUGUUACAUGAAGGCCGAGAUGAAGACUCUGCUAGAUUUUCAGAGAGGAGGUGCAUGGCGUCAGUGACU
rnacentral:rRNA from 1 species